CAGGGUUCCACUGUACUGUGCUAGUAGUACCAGCCAGGCUUACUUCGGUGGAGGAACCAGGUUAACUGUCCUAGGUGAAUUGUACUGUAACAGAAUGACUGGGUCUUUGAUUGUCCUCCUGACGUGGUCACGUUAAGAGUAAAUCCACGGUGCUGUCAGAGUCACACAGGAUUACUUCAGUGGAGGAACCAGGUUAACUGUUCUAGAGCCAGGCCUCACUGUCUCUCCACCCAAAGUGAAAGUCCUUCCACCCUCCACUAAGGAGUGUGAAGAUAGAAACAAGAAGAAGAAGAAGACCCUGGUGUGUG